ensembl:snRNA U6 U6 spliceosomal RNA
UUGCUUUGGCAGCACAUAUACUAAAACUGGAGCGAUGCAGAGAAGAGUAGCCUGACCCCUGCACAAGGAUGACUCGCAAAUUCGUGAAGCCUUCUGUAUUUUU